UACGGGGGGAGCAAGCGUUGUUCGGAUUUACUGGGCGUAAGGGCGCGUAGGCGGCCACCGCAAGUCAGUUGUGAAAGCUCUGGGCUUAACCCAGAAAGGUCAGCUGAUACUGCGGGGCUAGAGUGCAGAAGGGGCAACUGGAAUUCUCGGUGUAGCGGUGAAAUGCGUAGAUAUCGUGGAGAACACCCGUGGCGAAAGCGGGUUUCUGGCAGACUCCUGACGCUGAGGCGCGAAGGCUAGGGGAGCAAACGGG
rnacentral:rRNA from 1 species